rnacentral:lncRNA from 1 species
CUCAGGGAGGAGGGGCCUGUCCAGGGACCUAGAGUGUCAGGCACACGCCCUCUCCGCCCAAGCCCCUCAGAACUCUGUCAGCCCAUCUUGCCUUCUUUCUGUCUUGGCCCUGCUCUAGUUCUAUUUCUGUCACACACACACACAAACCCCCGCCCCAGCCGGCUUCCUGGGCUCUUCGAUGGCUCCACCCUCCCACCCCUCCCUCCUCUGCCCUUAAGUCCCUGACUCUCAGGGGAUGCUGAGUCUGGACUGCUCUGCAGUGGACUGCUAGCUGGGGCUCUGCCGCAGGCUCUCAGUGGCAGAGCCUUGGAGCACCAUGGCUUCCGCUAAGGACAUCGACGAUUUCAUCAAUUCCCUCAAAGCCAAAUUGGUCUGCUCAGAUCUUAUUUUAAUGGAGAGCAUAUGCAGUGCAGAUAUGGCUGACGCCGUGGAUGCUCAAGUUAACAACUCGGAAUCCUGUCCAUUGCUUCGUGAAACACUGCAGGAGUUGCGUCGCAGAGUCUGUGAGCCCUCUGGCUCCUACAGUCCCCCAGGCCAGAACCAGCCCUUUGACUCCUCCACUUCAAGGAAUUGGUAUGACUGGAUACUUGAGCUAUUUAAAGAGCUCCUGCAGCGACUGCAGCAGAAGUUUCAGAAAGCCCUGGAGUGGCUUCAUCAGAUAGCGGCUGCCUGCCUACAGGGCUUGCGCAUAGCGGCUGAGGCCGUCUGGAGAGUGUUGAAUGAUUUUUGCUCCUCUCUGGAGCAGCUCUUCAGGAGCCUUAUCCAGGUCUAGAAGCCCCAAGGGGUCCCCAGGGAGCUUGGCCUCAUCUAGACGCCUCAAUUUCCCCUUCUCACAGGGCAUCUUCUGAUGCACCCUUUACCCUCCUGCUCACCCUUGACCCAUCCUCAUAGCCUGCCUCACCCCCUCCCCUUCAGGGAGGGCACCACCCAGCCCAUCUAACUCUCCCUGCCUGAAUUUUCCUGCACCAGGUCUGACCUGCCUGUCACUGUAGUGCUGAUGUCCUAAUAAAAGUCAGUUGACCCAAAUGGAGUGUCUGUGU